ACUCAGUGAAAUUGAACUCGCUGUGAAGAUGCAGUGUACCCGCGGCAAGACGGAAAGACCCCGUGAACCUUUACUAUAGCUUGACACUGAACAUUGAGCCUUGAUGUGUAGGAUAGGUGGGAGGCUUUGAAGUGUGGACGCCAGUCUGCAUGGAGCCGACCUUGAAAUACCACCCUUUAAUGUUUGAUGUUCUAACGUUGGCCCGUUAUCCGGGUUGCGGACAGUGUCUGGUGGGUAGUUUGACUGGGGCGGUCUCCUCCUAAAGAGUAACGGAGGAGCACGAAGGUUGGCUAAUCCUGGUCGGACAUCAGGAGGUUAGUGCAAUGGCAUAAGCCAGCUUGACUGCGAGCGUGACGGCGCGAGCAGGUGCGAAAGCAGGUCAUAGUGAUCCGGUGGUUCUGAAUGGAAGGGCCAUCGCUCAACGGAUAAAAGGUACUCCGGGGAUAACAGGCUGAUACCGCCCAAGAGUUCAUAUCGACGGCGGUGUUUGGCACCUCGAUGUCGGCUCAUCACAUCCUGGGGCUGAAGUAGGUCCCAAGGGUAUGGCUGUUCGCCAUUUAAAGUGGUACGCGAGCUGGGUUUAGAACGUCGUGAGACAGUUCGGUCCCUAUCUGCCGUGGGCGCUGGAGAACUGAGGGGGGCUGCUCCUAGUACGAGAGGACCGGAGUGGACGCAUCACUGGUGUUCGGGUUGUCAUGCCAAUGGCACUGCCCGGUAGCUAAAUGCGGAAGAGAUAAGUGCUGAAAGCAUCUAAGCACGAAACUUGCCCCGAGAUGAGUUCUCCCUGACUCCCUGAGAGUCCUGAAGGAACGUUGAAGACGACGACGUUGAUAGGCCGGGUGUGUAAGCGCAGCGAUGCGUUGAGCUAACCGGUACUAAUGAACCGUGAGG
rnacentral:rRNA from 1 species